GAUGAACGCUAGCGGCAGGCCUAAUACGUGCAAGUCGGACGGGAUUUGGGAGCUUGCUCCCAAUGAGAGUGGCGCACGGGUGCGUAACACGUAUGUAACCUACCUUAAUCAGGGGGAUAGCCUCUCGAAAGAGAGAUUAACACCGCAUAACAUCAUGAGAUAGCAUUAUUUUAUGAUCAAAUAUUUAUAGGAUUAAGAUGGGCAUGCGGGACAUUAGCUAGUUGGCGGGGUAACGGCCCACCAAGGCGACGAUGGGUAGGGGAUCUGAGAGGAUGGCCCCCCACACUGGUACUGAGACAGGGACCAGACUCCUACGGGAGGCAGCAGUAAGGAAUAUUGGUCAAUGGGCGCAAGCCUGAACCAGCCAUGCCGCGUGCAGGAAGACGGCCCUACGGGUUGUAAACUGCUUUUGUACCGGAAUAAACCUUGAUAUGUAUAUCAAGCUGAAUGUACGGUAAGAAUAAGGAUCGGCUAACUCCGUGCCAGCCGCCGCCGUAAUAC
rnacentral:rRNA from 1 species